rnacentral:misc_RNA from 1 species
GUUUGCCGCCUCUCGAUGAUAAAGCAAUGUCAUCGUGUCCUGACUACUUCCGAUGGAUCCACGAGGACCUCAAACCCUGGAAGUCAAAGGGCAUCACACGGGAGAUGGUGCAGCGGGCGGCCCUUACUGCCAACUUCCGACUGGUGGUGGUUGGAGGCCGUGUCUACAUGGAGAACUAUCAGCCUGCAUUCCAGACACGUGACGUCUUCACCAUAUGGGGAAUU